UUGAAACAACGAUUCCCGUACUAUCGCCGAAGUUGAGCAACGUUGCGCCUGGUCAGUACUUAUAUGGAUGGCCGUUUGGGAAUACCAGGUGCUGCAAG